CUAGUCCCUCACUCCCUCGCGUCUCUCUCUCUCAGUCUCUCUCUCUCGGGCUCUCGGCGCACGGGAGGGAACGAGCAUAGGCGGCGGCGCACGGGAGGGAGCGCGGGCGGCGGCGCGGCGGCGCAAGGGAGGAAGGGAGCAGGCAGAGGGACCACAAGUGGCGGCACAUAGAUGGCGGCGCACAGCCGCACGGGAGGGAGCAGGCGGUGGCGCACGCAGGCAAGCCUGAUCUUAUGCCAGAUCUGAUAUUGGUGUUGUGACUUGUGAGCUGAGAUUAAGUGUUGAACUGAGAUAUUGCUGGCUUUGUUGUGCAACUGAUGGCUGCCCUGAUUAAUUGAUAUUGCUGGCUUUGUUGUGCAAGUCUUGAUGUUGAUGUCAUGAUGUAGAUGUUGUAAGUGUUGAACUUAAAUUAUGUGUGUAGAUGUGGUUUUGUUGUAACUUU
rnacentral:sRNA from 1 species